rnacentral:rRNA from 2 species
UACCUAUAAGAGUGCGAUACCUUCGCCGAAACCGGAGCUAAUACCGGAUAACAUUUGGAACCGCAUGCCUCUAAAGUGAAAGAUGGUUUUGCUAUCACUUAUAGAUGGACCCGCGCCGUAUUAGCUAGUUGGUAAGGUAACGGCUUACCAAGGCGACGAUACGUAGCCGACCUGAGAGGGUGAUCGGCCACACUGGAACUGAGACACGGUCCAGACUCCUACGGGAGGCAGCAGUAGGGAAUCUUCCGCAAUGGGCGAAAGCCUGACGGAGCAACGCCGCGUGAGUGAUGAAGGGUUUCGGCUCGUAAAACUCUGUUAUUAGGGAAGAACAAACGUGUAAGUAACUGUGCACGUCUUGACGGUACCUAAUCAGAAAGCCACGGCUAACUACGUGCCAGCAGCCGCGGUAAUACGUAGGUGGCAAGCGUUAUCCGGAAUUAUUGGGCGUAAAGCGCGCGUAGGCGGUUUCUUAAGUCUGAUGUGAAAGCCCACGGCUCAACCGGGGAGGGUCAUUGGAAACUGGGAAACUUGAGUGCAGAAAAGGAAAGUGGAAUUCCAUGUGUAGCGGUGAAAUGCGCAAAGAUAUGGAGGAACACCAGGGGCGAAGGCAACUUUCUGGUCUGUAACUGACGCUUAUGUGCGAAAGCGGGGGGAACAAACAGGAUUAAAUACCCUGGUAGCCCACGCCGAAAACAAUGAUUGCUAAUUGUUAGGGGGUUUCCGCCCCCUAAUGCUGCACCUAACGCAUUAAGCACUCCGCCGGGGGAGAACCACCGCAAGGUUAAACUCAAAGGAUUGACGGGACCCCCCAAGCGGGGAGCAUUUG